UAGGGAAUUUUGCGCAAUGGGCGAAAGCCUGACGCAGCAACGCCGCGUGAUUGAUGAAGCCCUUCGGGGUGUAAAGAUCUGUCAGUGGGGACGAAAGAUGACGGUACCCACAGAGGAAGCACCGGCUAACUCCGUGCCAGCAGCCGCGGUAAUACGGGGGGUGCGAGCGUUGUCCGGAAUCAUUGGGCGUAAAGAGUUCGUAGGUGGUAUGUUAAGUCUGGUGUUAAAUCCUGAAGCUCAACUUCAGUUCGGCACUGGAUACUGGCAAACUUGAAUGCGGUAGAGGUAAAGGGAAUUCCUGGUGUAGCGGUGAAAUGCGUAGAUAUCAGGAGGAACAUCGGUGGCGUAAGCGCUUUACUGGGCCGUAAUUGACACUGAGGAACGAAAGCCGGGGUAGCAAAUGGG
rnacentral:rRNA from 2 species